rnacentral:rRNA from 1 species
AGGAUGAACGCUGGCGGCGUGCCUAACACAUGCAAGUCGAACGUCCUGUCUCGCAAGAGGCAGGGAGUGGCGGACGGGUGAGUACCACGUGGGUCAUCUACCGUGAGGUGAGGAAUACCGGCGAGAAAUCGCCGACAAGACCGCAUAGGCUCGAUGCAAGUCGAGCAAAGCUCUUUCGAGAGAGGGAGCGCCACACGAGGAGCCUGCGCCCGAUUAGCUAGCUGGUGGAGUAACGGUUCACCAGGGCGACGAUCGGUAGCUGGUCUGAGAGGACGAUCAGCCACACUGGGAUUGAGAACGGCCCAGACUCCUACGGGGGCAGCAGUGAGGAAUUUCGUCAAUGGGGGCAACCCUGAACGAGCAACGCCGCGUGCAGGAAGAGGUUUCGGAUCGUAAACUGCUUUUCGUCGGGAAGAGAAUGGACGGUACCGAGGAAUCAGCCCGGCUAACUACGUGCCAGCAGCCGCGU